rnacentral:rRNA from 1 species
UACGAAGGGGGCUAGCGUUGUUCGGAUUUACUGGGCGUAAAGGGCGCGUAGGCGGAUUUUUAAGUCGGGGGUGAAAUCCCGGAGCUCAACUCCGGAACUGCCUUCGAUACUGAAAGUCUGGAGCACGGUAGAGGUGAGUGGAAUUCCGAGUGUAGAGGUGAAAUUCGUAGAUAUUCGGAGGAACACCAGUGGCGAAGGCGGCUCACUGGACCGUUGCUGACGCUGAGGCGAGAAAGCGUGGGGAGCAAACAGG